rnacentral:rRNA from 1 species
ACGAACGCUGGCGGCGUGCUUAACACAUGCAAGUCGAACGGAAAGGCCCUGCUUGCCGGGUACUCGAGUGGCGAACGGGUGAGUAACACGUGGGUGAUCUGCCCUGCACUUCGGGAUAAGCCUGGGAAACUGGGUCUAAUACCGGAUAGGAGCCAUUUUUAGUGUGAUGGUUGGAAAGUUUUUUCGGUGUAGGAUGAGCUCGCGGCCUAUCAGCUUGUUGGUGGGGUAAUGGCCUACCAAGGCGGCGACGGGUAGCCGGCCUGGGAGGGUGGACGGCCACAUUGGGACUGAGAUACGGCCCAGACUCCUGCGGGAGGCAGCAGUGGGGAAUAUUGCACAAUGGGCGCAAGCCUGAUGCAGCGACGCCGCGUGGGGGAUGACGGCCUUCGGGUUGUAAACUCCUUUCGCUAGGGACGAAGCUUUUUGUGACGGUACCUAGAUAAGAAGCACCGGCUAACUACGUG